UACAGAGGGGGCUAGCGUUAUUCGGAAUUAUUGGGCGUAAAGGGCGCGUAGGCGGCCAUGCGUGUCUUCCGUGAAAUCCCUCGGCUCAACCGAGGACGUGCGGAAGAAACUGCAAGGCUCGAGUCCGGAAGAGGGGGGCGGAAUUCCCAGUGUAGCGGUGAAAUGCGUAGAUAUUGGGAGGAACACCAGUGGCGAAGGCGGUCCCCUGGGCCGGAACUGACGCUGAGGCGCGAAAGCGUGGGUAGCAAACGGG
rnacentral:rRNA from 1 species